GAUGAACGCUAGCGGCAGGCCUAACACAUGCAAGUCGAGGGGUAACAUUGGUGCUUGCACCAGAUGACGACCGGCGCACGGGUGCGUAACGCGUAUACAACCUACCCACAACAGGGGGAUAGCCCGGAGAAAUUCGGAUUAAUACCCCAUAAUGCAGGGGUGCCACAUGGUACUAUUUGCUAAAGAUUUAUCGGUUGUGGAUGGGCAUGCGUCUGAUUAGCUAGUUGGUAGUGUAACGGACUACCAAGGCUACGAUCAGUAGCGGGUCUGAGAGGAUGAUCCGCCACACUGGCACUGAGAUACGGGCCAG
rnacentral:rRNA from 1 species